rnacentral:misc_RNA from 1 species
UUAUGCUGCCUUCUUAAACUAUGUUGCAAAGUAACAUGCUUAAUGUGUUAAUGUGUUUUUGUUUUUGAUAUUUUUAAUUUGUACAAAAACCUGGAGGAUUGCAGCACGAAUUGAUUGAACGUGGAUUUUCAUUGUGUAUUUAUAUUUUACAUAUUCUGUUUUCAUGGAAGUUCUGAUGUUUGAGGUUGGCUUUUAAUUGGCUUAUGGUGAACAGUGAAUAUAAUCUGAAUCAAUGA